CUCCCUUGAAACUCAGCUGGGGAAAUGAAACAACUAAAACCAAACAUCUUCUACCUUCAACCGUCAUGACUGUUUCCGAUACAUUUUGUAAGAUACUCAAGUACAACGCAGGAGAAGUUUAUGAAAUUUGAUUAUAGAGACGUGUGUGUAAUCCGUGCAUAUUGCAAUAUCCUCUUCCACUGUUUGUCCCCAGGAUAGAUGAGAUGAUCUAAAGGAUUUGUCCACCUCCGGUUUCUUGGAAUGAGAACAUAGGCCUUUUCCAGAUGAUUUUCAGUAUUUAUUUUUCAGAAAGAAAGGGAUCGAUACCAGUUUUAAAGAAGACAAAGCAAGGUACUCAAAUACUAAAGCUAAAAUGAUACCGGCUGCACGGAAGGGUACAUUUGAGGCACUUUGGCCAUCUCUCUGAAACGACGAGAAAAAAUGAGGAUAGAUGCAGUGCUGACUAAUCUGCCUAUUUUCAGAUGUGAUGCUGAGUUACAGAAAUGCAAAGUAAGGAGGUAGUUUAAGAAUUAGCAAAAGUCUCUUAAUGAGAAAUUGAUCUAGCAUCAAGGGGGGCAUCCAUGUGGGUAGCUAGAACAUAUUUUAAGAGUAUCUUAAAAUCUUAGAACUACAUCUAUGAAUGAGUCUAUGCACUGUCACAGGAGAUAAAUACACCAGAUCUUCUGGGAAUUCUAGAGAACAGUUAAGUGGUGGCCCUUCUCAGUGGCUGUUUCAACUCUUGCAGGGUGUUAUAGACUUGAGAUUCUAGAGUCCUGAAUAUUGUUCCUCCAAUCCCAUGUCUGUCCACCUCGGGCUGUGGACAUUUGGGGAAUAAGCCUUUGUCGUGGGAGCUGUCCUGUACAUUGUAGAACAUUUAGAAUCAUACUCAUUAGAUGCAAGUAGCAUUCCCUGCAAGUAGCAUUUCGGAUAACCAAAAUGUCCUUAUCCCUCAUUCUUCAAACUAAAUGAAAACCACACGCAUUUUGCAUUUAAAUUGCCAUUAGGAAAUGGACCAGAUGUUCAAUGGGAAAAGAAAAUGCAGUAAAGAAGAAAAAUACAGGCUGCUUCUGUUCACAGGUGGCCUGGAGGUCAUCCCAGCUCCGCCUGUUUCGGCUUCCCCUCCUGUAAACGGUUGACUUUCCUGGGCAUUAUGUUCUGGCUUCUUACAUUUCUUUUAAUGUCUUUAUCCUGUAUCCCAUAGUGCUGAGACAUG